rnacentral:rRNA from 1 species
AUUGAACGCUGGCGGCAGGCCUAACACAUGCAAGUCGAGCGAGCGGCGGACGGGUGAGUAAUGUAUGGGGACCGCCCUCUAGCGGGGGAGAACUACUGGAAAAGGUGACUAAUACCGCAUACUGGCGGAUAACCCAUAUGGGAGUAGCUAGUAGGUUAGGUAAUGGCUUACCUGGGCGACGAUCCCUAGCGGGUCUGCGAGGAUGAUCAGACAAAUUGGGACUGAGACAGGGCCAAGACGCCUACGGAGGCAGCAGUGGGGAACAGUGGACAAUGGGCGCAAGCCUGCUGCAGCCAGGCCGCGUGUAUGAAGAAGGCCCUAGGGUUGUAAAGUACUUUCAGUCGGGAGGCGGUACCGACAGAAGAAGCACCGGCUAACUCCGUGCCAGCAGCCGCGGUAAUAC